rnacentral:rRNA from 1 species
GGUUAAGCGAAUAAGCGUACACGGUGGAUGCCUAGGCAAUCAGAGGCGAUGAAGGACGUGCUAAUCUGCGAUAAGCGUCGGUAAGGUGAUAUGAACCGUUAUACCCGACGAUUUCCGAAUGGGGAAACCCAAUAUCCAAUGGAUAUUAUCAUUAACUGAAUACAUAGGUUAAUGAAGCGAACCGGGAGAACUGAAACAUCUCAGUACCCCGAGGAAAAGAAAUCAACCGAGAUUCCCCUAGUAGCGGCGAGCGAACGGGGAACAGCCCAGAGUCUUAAUCAAUAGCAGCAUCAGGAGAACGGUCUGGAAAGUCCGGCAGUAAAGGGUGAUAGCCCCGUAUCCGAAGAUGCUGUUAUUGUGAACUCGACGAGUAGGGCGGGACACGUGUUAUCCUGUCUGAAUAUGGGGGGACCAUCCUCCAAGGCUAAAUACUCCUGAUUGACCGAUAGUGAACCAGUACCGUGAGGGAAAGGCGAAAAGAACCCCGGCGAGGGGAGUGAAAAAGAACCUGAAACCGUGUACGUACAAGCAGUAGGAGCCCCA